GACGAACGCUGGCGGCGUGCCUAAUACAUGCAAGUAGAACGCUGAAGGAGGAGCUUGCUUCUCUGGAUGAGUUGCGAACGGGUGAGUAACGCGUAGGUAACCUGCCUGGUAGCGGGGGAUAACUAUUGGAAACGAUAGCUAAUACCGCAUAAGAGUAGAUGUUGCAUGACAUUUGCUUAAAAGGUGCAAUUGCAUCACUACCAGAUGGACCUGCGUUGUAUUAGCUAGUUGGUGGGGUAACGGCUCACCAAGGCGACGAUACAUAGCCGACCUGAGAGGGUGAUCGGCCCCACUGGGACUGAGACACGGCCCAGACUUCUACGGGAGGCAGCAGUAGGGAAUCUUCGGCAAUGGACGGAAGUCUGACCGAGCAACGCCGCGGGAGUGCAGAAGGGUUUCGGAUCGUAAAGCUCUGUUGUAAGAGAAGAAAGAGUGUGAGAGUGGAAAGUUCACACUGUGACGGUAGCUUACCAGAAAGGGACGGCUAACUACGUG
rnacentral:rRNA from 1 species